CAGGUGGUGAAGCACAAGAAGUCGCCUCUCAUUUCUCUGGGUGGUCUGCAGAACAAGGGUUGGAUGAGCUAGUGUCACGCUUCGAGGCGUUCUGUGUGCCCCGCCAGAAUGUUGUCCGUGAACGGUACAAUUUCUACACUCGCGGUCAGAAGCCAGACGAGUCGGUCAGCCAAUAUCUAUCGGCCCUUCGAUCUCUGGCAGCAACGUGUGAUUUCCCAGACGGGGACAACAUGAUAAGAGACAGAAUAUGCAUCGGCCUCCGUGACCAGAAAAUACAAGCAGCGCUGCUGAAGCGAGCUGAUUUGACCCUUCAGAUGGCAAUCGACAUAGCGCUAUCCGAAGAAGCCGCCAAUCGUGAUCUCAAGGUGUUUGGAACUGAGUCCCACAGUGAGCAAACAGACAACUUGGCCGCCGUCUCUGGACACAACCGGUCCCAACCGACCCGCAAGUGCAAGUUCUGCGGCCGUGAUCACCCAAUGGUUCGGUCUCGCUGCCCUGCAUGGGGCAAAGCCUGCCUCGCCUGCGGGCAGGCCAACCAUUUCGCAUGCAGUACUAUCUGCGGCUCCCGGCGUCCCCCGCCCGGCUCUGGCGGGCGCGGACCAGUUCGCCAGCCAGCGGCCCGGCCGCUGUCUCUCGCCGCCACCGUGGGCGCCGCCGGCGCCGCCGCCGCCGGCCGCGAUCAGCUGACUGCGACUCCGCCAGCCGGCCAGCGCCGCGACCCGCCUCCCGGCGCGUCAGGUGCACAUCAACAUGAGCACUGGGACGUUUUGUCGACAGCUGGCCAUUCCGAGUGAUCACUCGGACCCAGACCUGCUCGGUCCGCCACGGGAACCCACCGCGUUACCAGAGCCGCCUCAGACUCCUCCCGUCGCCACCGGCACGGGCGUGCGCCCGCUCGUCGUCCCGCCCGUGCCUCCUGCCCGUCCUGGCGAACCGUGGAUGGAUGUGCCGUCAUCUCCUCCGCUCCCGCCGUCCCCCGUCCAUGCGCCUUACGCACCACUGACCGGGGCAGGCUCACCGCCGGUCAUAAGUCGCCGUCCCCAGCGCGAAAGGCGCCCGCCCGCCUAUCUGUCCGAUUACGUUAGAUGAAUCACUGUUCGCGUCAGUUCAGUUCGUGUUCACUGUUCUUGUCAGUUCGUGUCAAUGCAUGCUGGAUGUGGCUGCAUACUUAUCAGCAGACGGUAGAAUGACCAAGCGUCAUGAGAGGUAUGCAAUGUAAAUAUUUUGUCGCGCUUUAUACUGUUUUGCGAUUACCAGUAGUGUUACAGUGCUCAGUCCUUCAGUGCCGCGUUAUAGCUUCGUCGCACAGUAGCUUUGCGUAGCAUUUGAUGUGGUGCAUUGCACAUGUGUGUUCGUGUACGGACACCAGCAUGUCCGUGAUCUCGAUAUCUCAUUGUCGCAGGAGAAGGGAUGUGGCGUAUUGUAAUUUGUAGUGUCCUGAGACGUGCUGUCAUCUAACGGCAGAAAAGCGAACUCGUGGUUGACGGCAAGUGAGGGCGCGGCAGCCGGAGGGUUGUAGAGUUAGACACCCGAGCUAGGGUUGGUCAGUGCUGUAUAAUAUCUGACAUUACUGAAUACAUAUCAUCGUCUUACGUUA